ACUUGGCGGCCGCAGGGCUGGCUCAGUGGACCGCAGGGGAGAAAACAGGGCAAGGGGUUGAGCGCCAUCAGGAGCCAUUCCACAGUGACCAUGGAGGAGCAGAGACUGCAUGGUGGGGGUUGUGAGUGGGGAGAAAGCGUCCACUCACCUGAAAGCCCAACGACCUGGUCUCCUCGGCAUCAGACUUACACAGCAGUUCCAUCCACCUUGACCUUAGGGCUCAGGGCAUCUGCAGCCCUACUGCCGGCCCUCGGCCUCACUGCCCUCAUCUGGCAGCUUCUAUGUGCUCUCGGGGCUGGAGAGGUCAGGAAGAAAUAGACAGAGUGGGCCAGGCUUGGUCGGAGUCCAUACAGAGCAGGCCCCCUCUGCACGGGGAGUCACAGAUUUCUGGAAACCUCAGCUGAGCCUGGUGCAGUGGCACAGAGCAGCCCUGCCCCAGUUCCCAGUGGUGACUCCUCUGGGGUUCAGCACAUGGGACAGAAGACCUGCCCUGGGGAGGUGCAAAAGAGCGGCAAUGCUAACGCCACCUGGGCUCCCUGGCCCUGCAGGCAUCUUCCUUCAUGUUCUCUGGGGGAGAGACUGACUGUGGGAAUCAGCCUUGGUUGCAAAGGGAAGCUGAGAGAAGAGAGCAGCGCAGGGCACGGACAUGCCAGCCCAGUUACUGGAGAUAUCUGCCGCUGGAGACGGGUUCAGAGCCUAGUUUAAUAUCCCGAAUUUCUGAUGCCAAGCUGAUCAUCGUCUCAGCACCAGCAAAGACAUGCUAUUCCCGUCCCUGACGAGCAUUUCCUUCUUGAGAAAGUGAUUUUGAGGGGCUGCAGAUGUACUUGGAGGAAGGUUUGGGCCGGGACAGAUGACGUGCCCAUGUGGGAGCUGGACGGCCCCUCUCUGGGUAGCUCCCUGGGAACUCCCAUGUCCGCCUCCCGCUGCCUCCUGAUCCAAGGUGGAUGCACUUCAUUUGAGGCCUGGUCUUUCGUCCUUCCCUCUCCUCUUCGGGGACCACUUUGUCUAGUGCUAGACUCAUUGUGCUUCCCCCUUGGGGCUUCCUUCAGCCCUCAGCCGAUUCAAGACUUCAAAAGGAAGUUGGACAUGGAGAGGAAAAAAGAAAUGAAACCAGGAAGGAACCGCCAAGAAGCACACAACGCGUUUAUGCUGCCUUAACCACACGCUUGACUCUAAAUGGGUUUAAAAAUUCUUACUUGUGUUAGCCCAAGAAAGUUUCUGCAGCCGUCUUUUUGGUUUAAACAAUCAAAUACUCA
rnacentral:lncRNA from 1 species